AUUGAACGCUGGCGGCGUGCUUAACACAUGCAAGUCGAUCGGUAACAGGUGUAGCAAUACAUGCUGACGAGAGGCGGACGGGUGAGGAAUGUUUGGGAAUCUGCCCAUCAGCGGGGGACAACCCGGGGAAACUCGGGCUAAUACCGCAUACGCUCUACGGAGGAAAGCCGGGGACCGCAAGGCCUGGCACUGAUGGAUGAGCCCAAAUCGGAUUAGCUAGUUGGCGGGGUAACGGCCCACCAAGGCUACGAUCCGUAGCUGGUCUGAGAGGACGAUCAGCCACACCGGAACUGAGACACGGUCCGGACUCCUACGGGAGGCAGCAGUGGGGAAUAUUGGACAAUGGGGGAAACCCUGAUCCAGCGACGCCGCGUGGGUGAAGAAGGCCUGCGGGUUGUAAAGCCCUUUCGGUAGGGACGAAAGCUCUUGCUCUAAUAAUGCAAGAGGUUGACUUAACCUACAUAAGAAGCACCGGCUAACUCUGUGCCAGCCGCC
rnacentral:rRNA from 1 species